CUCCUGACCUCAGGUGAUCUGCCCCCCCGGCCUCCCAAAGUGCUGGGAUUACAGGUGUGAGCCACCGCGCCCGACCCUCACCCAACCCCCUGUAGUUUUCAGCAGCCUCUUCUGCUUCUGUGGCCCUGGUCUGAGGAACAGUCCUGUCUCCAUCAGAUCCAUAGCUGGAAAGACCUGGGGAGAGAGGGGUUCUGAGAAAAGAGGGGUCAGCCGGGAAGGAGACGAGAGGCAGGGGAGACAGCCAGCCCCAUCCUAGCACCUUCCACCGACAUCACCAUCAGACCCAAGCAGUCCGAAAUACAACAAGAACAAGAAAACCGUAGCCAUAGCCAGAGUAAUGACGCCGAACAACAGAGAAAUCAGCAAGUACUACUCUUUCUGAGUGAAGUCAGAUGCUGUGCCAAUAGCAGCCCCAUGGAGAGUCCUGCAGGUGAGAAGCUGAGGCCUCCCACCCACAAGCCAAGGCAUGUACCAUGCUGGAAGUGGGUCAACACCAGCCGAGCCUUCAGGGGAUGCAGCCCCAGACCCCCAGCCAGAACCACCCAGCAACAUUUGGAGCUUGACAGAGAAGAAUGAAAAGAUCUUGUGAAGGCUCUGCUACUUACACCGAUGCUGUGGCUUUCCUGUCCUCCUCGUCUGCCAACCUCUCUCUGGUGAUUCCACGGCUUUGUGCUUUAGCCACACUAGAUCACAGUCUCAAAGAAAAAUGUGGUGCCAUUGGUGGGAAGAAAACAACCAAAAUGAUCUUCGUAGAACACCUGUUCUCUGCCGGUCACGUGAGGAAAACAGAAGGCAGGUGAUCAGGUUCAGUACAAGGUCCAGUUCCAAGGAGGAAGUGGCUACAUUUAGAAAGGUAAGCAGGUGGGUGUUGGAUCAGGCCAAUGAGAACCCAAAGUCCAGCAAACAGAUAAUCACAUACCCAGGAAGUGCUGGCAAUGAUGGAGUGACUGAGGUCUCAGAGCGACCCUACCCAGGGAUAUAAGGGGCCCAGGCUCAGGGAGCUCCACACCUGCACCUCCCUCUCACCUGUUCCUCUACCUGCUCCAUCCUCAAUCCACCAGAACCAUGGGCUGCUGUGGCUGCUCUGGAGGUUGUGGCUCUGGCUGUGGGGACUGUGGCUCCAGCUGUGGGGGCUGUGGCUCCAGCUGUGGGGGCUGUGGCUCCAGCCGCUGUGUGCCCGUCUGAUGCUGCAAGCCCGUGUGCUGCUGUGUGCCAGCCUGUUCCUGCUCCAGCUGUGGCUCCUGUGGGGGCUCCAAGGGAGGCUGUGGCUCCUGUGGGGGCUCCAAGGGG